rnacentral:lncRNA from 1 species
UUUAAACCUCAGCUGUUUGCGAUUUACAGUACAGCUUCAGAUCUGACCACCACCGACAGGAAAAGACGUGCGUCACUGCUGGCAGCAGCCCAGCUGGUCUCGGACGGCACCGCGGGGACCCUCCGCGGCUGCUCGCGGAGCGGCGCCCGUGCUGCCUCGCCGCUGGGGCCGGGCCGGGCCGAGCCGGGCCGGGCCGGGCCGGGGGGCGGAGCCGCAGGGCCGGGAGCGCGCCGGCGGCGGGUUGGGCUGUGUCACGCGGCCGCGGGGCUGCCAAGGCCGAACGGAAACACCACUCUCGCGGCGGCCGGAACCGGGCUACCAUAUUUGGCGUUUCCUCCGGGCCUUUUAAGGCGCUUCCGAGGCCCAAAAAAGGCUUUUCCUGCUCACGCCCUCUUGGGGCCGUACCGCGGAGCUUCCGGGGGCCGCCGCGCCGCNNNNNNNNNNNNNNNNNNNNNNNNNGGGCGCCCCGGCGGGCGUCUCGCUCGGGAGGGGCCCCGCCCGGCCCUUGCCGCGGGCCGCUCGUUUCGCGGCCGCGGGCCCGGGCAGCGGGUGCUCCGUGCGGGCCCCUGUGGCGGGCCCGGGGCCCUCAGGACGCACUGCGGACGCCCGCUCGCGGCGCGGCCCAAGGGAGCUGCGGCUGUGCGCUACCGUCUGAAUGGCUGUGCUCCCAGCGACCUUUGGAGGGCAGGCCUCUGGCCUUCCCUCGCUGUCGGGUGCUGCUACGGUUUGUUUAAUAGGGAGUGUGUCGCUUUGCCUGUACGCCUCAGAAAUAGGUACUUUGUGGGGGCAUUAUUAUUAUUAUUAUUUUUAACUACCCAGAACAAAGGCAUUGUCAGAAAUCUCCCAUCUCAGUAUUCAUCUGGCUUUUUCAAAUACUCUCCUUUUAGCAAGUUGCUUCUCUGGAGGAGAGUUGUUCCUGUCAUCUCAUGCAACAUCUAUUAAGGGCCUUUGGCAAGGUCUGUACAGAACAGUUUAUGGAAAUCCAGAUACAGUACAUCAGGUGAAUUUCACAUGCCCACAUGCCCAUUGACUCUUCCAAAUAAUUACAAAGCAUUUGUCAGACAUAAAUUUGUCACACACAUACGCACUAAUUUUGACCUUCAGAAUUGCUUCUACUAGCAUACCUGGAAUAGAAGUAGGACUGAUGAUUUCUGAAACAUGUAUAAAAAUUUGUGUUAUGUAUGUUAACUUGCAGUCCCCUAGUACUGAGGUAAAACAUCGCAGCUAUUAUGCUUUUUCGAUUGCAUGUUUGAGGGGUUAUCAUAUGGUCUAGUGAUUUAUUGUUAUUCAUUUUGUUGACUUAAUCCCUUCUGUAAUUAUCCUACAGAAACUUUGGUUUAUGGGAGUUGUAUUACAGAAUAUUUUAAAGGUAAUUUUGUGGCACAGGAACUUUUCCAAGUUUGUCUGAAAUACAAUGAGUACAAAAAUAACUUUUGGUGCCCUCCUUUUGUUUUAAACAUCAGCUGCUCUUACAAAUUCUGACAGUCUCACAGUUCCUGAUAUGGCUGAGUGUCCUGGUUUCAGCUAGGACAGAGUUAAUUUUCCUUCUAGUAGCUGGU